ACAAUGCGGAACAAUGUUUUGCAAUUGGAUUGAGAACAACGUACAAACCUUAUCGAUAAACAAUUGGAGGGCAAGUCUGGUGCCAGCAGCCGCGGUAAUUCCAGCUCCAAUAGCGUAUAUUAACGUUGUUGCAGUUAAAAAGCUCGUAGUUGAAAUGAAGGGUAGUUGUGUAAUGAAUACAUUCGUGUAUUUUGUUAUUCUACUACCCUCCUUCUAAAUUCGAUAUAUGAGUAUUAAUUUACUUGUAUAUGGUUUUAGACCUUUACUGUGAGAAAAUUAGAGUGUUCAAAGCAGGCAUUUGCUUGAAUAUAUUAGCAUGGAAUAAUCAUGUAUGAUUUUCAUGAUGUAUUUGAUUGGUUUGGUUCAUGAGAAUAAGAUUAAAAGGGACAGUUGGGGGUAUUCAUAUUCAAUAGUCAGAGGUGAAAUUCUCGGAUUUAUGGAAGAUGAACAAGUGCGAAAGCAUUUACCAAGGAUGUUUUCAUUAAUCAAGAACGAAAGUUAGGGGAUCGAAGAGGAU
rnacentral:rRNA from 1 species